rnacentral:rRNA from 1 species
GCAUGCGAUCAUACCAGCACUAAAGCACCGGAUCCCAUCAGAACUGCGCAGUUAAGCGUGCUUCAGAACUUGGUAGAAUGUAUGAU